GUCCCUGACAUGAAUGAACCAUGUUCGGUAACGGAGGCUCAGCUCUCCCGGUCUGCUCCUUUCUCCUGCUGCACCUCCCGCUCCUCCCGCUGACCGGCAGCUGGCCCGUUAAGGAGGAGGUGUUUCAGUGGUGGGGGGAGUGGUCCAGUUGGUCCUCAUGUUCCAGGAGUUGUGGAGGAGGAGUGAGAAGCCAGG
rnacentral:lncRNA from 1 species